rnacentral:rRNA from 1 species
GGAGUUAGCCGGUGCUUCUUCUGUGAGUGAUGUCCUUCCUGCCGGCUAUUAACCCGCAGGCCUUCUUCCUCACUGAAAGUGCUUUACAACCCGAAGGCCUUCUUCACACACGCGGCAUGGCUGGAUCAGGGUUGCCCCCAUUGUCCAAUAUUCCCCACUGCUGCCUCCCGUAGGAGUCUGGGCCGUGUCUCAGUCCCAGUGUGGCUGAUCAUCCUCUCAGACCAGCUACGGAUCGUCGCCUUGGUGAGCCGUUACCUCACCAACCAGCUAAUCCGACAUAGGCUCAUCCGAUAGCGCGAGGCCCGAAGGUCCCCCGCUUUCCCCCGUAGGGCGUAUGCGGUAUUAGCCUGGGUUUCCCCAGGUUAUCCCCCACUACCGGGCAGAUUCCUAUGCAUUACUCACCCGUCCGCCGCUCGCCACCAGGGAGCAAGCUCCCCGUGCUGCCGCUAGACUUGCAUGUGUAGCUCGCCGCCAGCGUCAUCUGAGCAGAAUACGAACCUACGUACGUACGAGACGGCGGUCGGUCGACGGACGGCGACGUAG